rnacentral:rRNA from 1 species
AUUGAACGCUGGCGGAAUGCUUUACACAUGCAAGUCGAACGGCAGCACGGGGCAACCUGGUGGCGAGUGGCGAACGGUGAGUAAUACAUCGGAACGUGCCCAAUCGUGGGGGAUAACGUAGCGAAAGUUACGCUAAUACCGCAUACGAUCUACGGAUGAAAGCGGGGGAUCGCAAGACCUCGCGCGAAUGGAGCGGCCGAUGUCAGAUUAGGUAGUUGGUGGGGUAAAGGCUCACCAAGCCAACGAUCUGUAGCUGGUCUGAGAGGACGACCAGCCACACUGGAACUGAGACACGGUCCAGACUCCUACGGGAGGCAGCAGUGGGGAAUUUUGGACAAUGGGCGCAAGCCUGAUCCAGCCAUUCCGCGUGCAGGAUGAAGGCCUUCGGGUUGUAACU